GGCUUUUUUUCUCAGUAAGGAAGAAGACUCCUUAUAGGUAUUUGUGUCCUUGAUUCAGCAGUAAGCUCUCCUCUUUCAGGCCUGCACCAUCAAGAACAGUUUUUGCUCUGUCUCCGAUCUUUCUGAGUGCCCAGUGUAGGCCCAUGGAAUUCCCAUACCCUUUAGAGUUCUUGACAUCUCUAAAUAAUUAUACUACAUUUCCCUCUAGUACUUUUAUGGAUUUUGGUUUACCUUUCAACUUUAAUAUCUCUGGAAUUUACCCUGAUGGGCAAACUGCUAAAUAAUCAAACCAGUUAGUUACAGUGAACUUGUGUUUCUCAGCUUCUCCUGAAGUUAGGCUGGGGACAUGUGACAAGAAUUAAUUUGUGGAAUAUGAGUGAAAAUUAUAUAAACUACUAGGUCUGCCCCAUGAAGUCGUCGUCUAUCUUCCACCCUUCUUUUGACCCUCAGUUAGGUGUCAAGUCCUGGGGAGACAGUAGAGGACCCUGUUUUUAAGAUGAAGAAAUAACUAUCAAUGUGGGAACCUCAAUAACUGUGGAAAUCAUACUUACCACCUUUCCCUCCACUUAAGCCAAAUGGACUUAAGUUAGCCUCUAUCAAACAUCCUUGUGUAAAACCAGUGAGAAGUUUUUUUUAUAGUACAAGUAUUACUCUGAUACAGAAACUGUUGCUAGAAAAAAUGUUCCUAUGACAAAAAUCCAAAAUAUACUUAGCAUUGGUCCACUCUACAGUCAAGAUGGAAACUAAUAUCCAAAGCUAUAAAACUGGAGAUUUGUGCAUGCAAUGACAAAACAUUUUUUUAAAUGGUCGUUUGCAAUUGCUUGAAAGGUGGAUGACGUGUUUAUUGACUUCCUGAUACUAAGGAGAGAGGCUGGAGAAUGAAAUGCUGGUAUUGACUGUUGAUUGUUACUCUGGACUUACCAGGGUGGUAGGGGAAAAAAGAAAAAUGGGAUGUAGCAAAAAUCUGUUAGUUUGAAAGCAGAAAAAAAAAAAAAAGAUGAAAAAGCCAUGACUUCUAGUCCCAAAUAAUAAGAGAUAAUGGACAAAUGUCUGCUGAGACUUCUGGGUCCACUCAGACCUAAGUAAAGAUGUGGCAUUUCCUCCUAAGCAUGAUAGCUUUAAGCCAUGUUGACAAAUGGAAAAAAUAAGGCAGGCUUGAGAAUUAUAUUUAGGAAAGAAUUUUGAAGGAUACUAUUAGCAUAUGUAAGUGAAUAGAUACCUCUCCCUCAAAAAUAGUAGUUUGCUUUUUUGUAAUGCCAAAGAAAUUGAAAGUCUGGAUUUCGGUAGCCUUUGAAUUUUCUGUCAUUCUGAGUGUUUGGGGGGGUCCCAAACUUGCUUAGAGAAGAGAUGAGUUGCAAAAACUAAAGGCUCCCAGGAAAGGCAAAAUGCCCAUCUAUUUCGAAUAUAAUAAUGGACCAAACAAUCUCCAGAAAGGUAGAUUCAGAGCUAUGAAGAACACCGUAUAUGUAGUUCCUUCUAGACAGAAAAGCUGCUAUCAGGAAAGUGGCCCACUACCAGAAAAGAGGGAUCUCACAAUGUCUGCCAGAAGGAUAUCCUACGCAGUGCCCUCUGUGUGUCUCCCAUAUUCCCUUUACCAGGUGGCAGUUUACAUCACAAACCUCCUGUCCAUGCUUUACCGUGGUAAAUUGGGUCUGGUGGCAAUAGAUUUCUGUAACUUUGUUGUUAGUGCAACUGUCACUAGAACCUCAAGUGGCCAUAUCCAGAACUGGUGGAAAGAACCACACAUCAUUCAGAGAUCUUGGCCUUUGAGCUGAUUGUGGUAACUGAAUGGAAUUUUGAAUUUUCUCUCUUGGGGAAGGAGGGAGUGUGCUCUAUUAGGUAGGGUACCUGGUAACCAGAAGGACAUACUAUGUUAGAAACUGGCACAGAAGUGUUCACUUAAUAUAUUUCUUCUUUUAGUUAGGUACCUGGCUAAAUUACACUUCCCAGCCUCCUUGAAGUUGGCAAAGGCUGGCCAGAAGAAUGUGGGUACAUGAUUUUCACCUGCCCCACAGAACUUUCCAGGCAAUCUCCACAUUUCUGUCUUUGUUUUCCAGCUAGAUGUUAAACAUCUUGGGCAACCUUACAAGAUAGAUUUACAAGAUGGUGAAGUUUCUAUGAAUAUCAGCCAGGGUCCCUGCUUGGUUGCAUGGAACAGAUCCCCAUAACCCUGUCCAGCCACCGAGUGAACUUCACAUGAGCAGGAGAUAAGUUCCACCUGUGAUAAAAGAGAAAUUUAUAAGCCCUAUCAACUUUUUAAGUUCCUGUUUUAUUUGAGGCCAGAGAAAACAACCCUACAAGUACGGCUGUAAGAACUCAUCAGGCACUUUAGAAAAAAUCACCUAAUGUGGAAAUCUGAUAAUGGAUCUAGCAAUGAUCAUCAAUGACUGCUAAAAUGAGUAGCUAAGAAUCUAUUGGAGAUUUCUAUAGUGGCUGUAUCAGACUGACAACGCUGAGCCCACUAAUCAUUUUUAGCAUCACAAAAAGAUAGAUGGUAGAG